CCUACGGGGGGCAGCAGUAGGGAAUAUUGCUCAAUGGGGGAAACCCUGAAGCAGCAACGCCGCGUGCAGGAUGAAGGUUUUCGGAUUGUAAACCCCUUUUGUUAGAGAAGAUAAUGACGGUACCUAACGAAUAAGCACCGGCUAACUCCGUGCCAGCCGCCGCUGUAAUACGGAGGGUGCAAGCGUUAUUCGGAAUCACUGGGCGUAAAGAGCGCGUAGGCGGGAUAGCAAGUCAGAUGUGAAAUCCUAUGGCUUAACCAUAGAACUGCAUUUGAAACUGUUAUUCUAGAGUGCGGGAGAGGUAGGUGGAAUUCGUGGUGUAGCGGUAAAAUGCGUAGAGAUCAAGAGGAACACCCAUUGCGAAGGCGACCUACUGGAACGUAACUGACGCUGAAGCGCGAAGGCGUGGGGAGCAAACAGGAUUAGAUACCCGAGUAGUC
rnacentral:rRNA from 1 species